AGUAGAUUUCCUAGUUCUGUCUCUGACAAGGCUAAGCCGCUUCUAAUAAGUUCUCUUCUGUCUCCUUUCCUAUCAUGUCUGUUUUUCUAUCAGAUCCUCUUUUGACCGGAAGAAAACUGUUAUCUUCUGAGAUUUUGAGAAUUUUCAUAUGGACAAUUCUCAAGAUUUCCGAGGACAACACUUUUUUUUUUUCAAUAAUCAGUCAUGCGUAAAGAAGAUUAGAGAAGCUUUUGGGCCACCAGAUCUGGUGAAGAAGAUGUGUAAGGAAGGCCUCACCACGCGAUUCUUCUACGUAUCUUUUUCCAGUCCAAGGAAACCCUAAACUCCAUCAUCCAGAGAAAAUCUCUUCUUCGUUUCGUACAAGGACGAUCCAGAGAAAUCUCUUCUUCGUACAAGGACGAUCCUUCGUGGCUGAUUGGCGGAAGAUGGAACUGGGUCAGGCAAGCGGAGAUAUGAGCACUAGCAGCCUCAGGUAUGUUCUUACCUUUUGGGUUGCACUUGACCUAGAAGGAAUUAUAAAGUCAGUGACCUAGCCAUAGAAAACAGAAGAAUUAGAGGGAAGAGAAGAGAUAGAUUUAGAAUUGUUUUGUUGUUUUGCUAUAUAAUUAAUUCCUUCAUUACAGCAAUUUCAUGUUCACAAAGUAUGUGAUCACUAAAGCGUGAUUUUCUUAGGCUUCAUUUAAACCUUCCCACAUCACUCUUGUCUGAUCUCAAGCUUAUUGAGCGUUGUACCAUAUACUUAACCUUUGCAUAAAUCCCCACCAAACAUGUUCAGACUGUACUCCACACUGAUUUCUCUUGCUAAACCGGCCUGGAUCACGAGGUUGUUUUCCUGAAAUUCUCUCAGGUAACAUGCCUUGUAUUGAAAUUCUCUGCACGUAGUUCAGCGUUAGGUUCCUUCCUUGAUAUUAUUUCCAAACCAUAGGAUCUUGUUGAUAUCAUGCAAGUAAGUAUCUUCACAUAUAUCCUUUUGUGAUCCAACAUACAUCUUUUGGAAACUGGAAAAGGUUUGCAUCUCUACACAUUCAUAAACCAUCACCAGCUUAGGACCCUCAAGAGUAUAGUUCACCACAAAGUAGUUUUGUAACGCCACUCUUACUGCCUUAAAACUGAAUCUUGUGGUUCUGUAAUAUCCAUCUAUCAUAUCCCGCAGAGCCUUCUUAUACCAUGUUCCACCCCGGACCCCACGCACAACCCUUCCGAGAUAAACUUUUGGUUUGUUUCUCGUGGGCACUAAUUGCCACCAAGAUAUGACUAGAGCAUUAUUGGCAGUUUCAAGAAGCAGAUCAUGAGAUAAUUUGUGAGUAGCCAGUCGUGAGAUAAGAGAGACUAAUUACCCUCAGUUGAGUUUUUUCAUUAUCCGAGCUCUAUGAAACCGUUGCGUCACCAUAAUUCUUCUGAGAAACUUGCGGUCGUUUCCUUUGACAUGAUUCCUAGCCACUAGAGUCGCCAGGGGCUUCCUGAGAGACCUUCAGCCUCUCAGUUCCCUUUUUGUACCCAUCAUACAUUUCCUCCAUACCUGUUCUCAUGACCUUUUGCAAACCAAUCACAUGAUGCUUCAGCCUUCAUUUGAAAACUCCAAAAACUUUUUCGAAUCAUUCUCUAGCCAAUCCCACUGAAAUUGUCUAACCUCUAAACCACCACGCUCCCAUACACGGUUAGCCCUUCUAGAUUCAAUUGGUCGUUUAAUGUCGUUACAAACUCGGAACAUAAUCAAGAGUUCUAUCACAUUCACAGGCCUAAAAUUCCACUAACCCGUCUAGCAGCAUUUGUCCAGCUAAAAUUCCACCAGGUUCCCAUACUUGGUGAACUUGAGAAAAUCAGAGACUCGAUUCCCAGUCAUGAAAACUCUAUCAGCUAUAGAGACAAUGAGAUGUUUGUUUCUCUCUUGAUAUAUAUAUGCCAAACAUUUUCCACGUUAUGUCCACCGUCACUAGCUUCCCCAUGUUUCUCUCGAUCAUGUUCAGAAUAUAAGUAUUCCACUUCCUGAAAACUUAGCAGCCUUAGAGAGUCUUUUUGAACCCAUCAAAUCUCUCUCACCUUCCACUUCCUCAAUCAUCAGAUCAUCAUAACUACCUGGAUUGUAUGGGUUAUGUGGUUGAAACCGAGAACCAAAUUCCCCACUAAACACAAAAGAUAAGCUGAUGUGUUCCCUCACCUUAGCACUUUUGGUCCAACCUUCACCUGCUGCCUGGAUCUUCUAUUGACUUUCUUCUUUAUAGAGCGAGUAUCCCUAGAUGGUUGCUGAAUACCACUAAUCUGUGGGAAUAUGAUGAGUCUCUUUGGCCACAGUAAAAGAAGAGAGAAACUUACGUAGCCCAAGAUAUUGGAGUCGUCACAGAAGAAUUGGAUACUUUCCACACUGAGUUGCAAGGCCCAUUUCAAGCCGUGAAUGAGGGCAGCCAGUUCCGCAGCUUCUGGGUGUGCCAGCUUUUGGGUUCUCAGAGCUUUAUUAGUCUCCAGUUUCGUGUCAUCGUUAGAGUUACAGAGGGACAAACCUAAACCAACGACCAGCACUGUAUCAUCCUUAAUAAGCUCUUCACUCACCAAACCCUUGGAGUGUAACCGAUAGGUAUGAAUUGCGGUUAAGGAGGAUUCUCCGAGAAGGAGGAUUCACCAUGGAUGGAUAAUGACUCGAAAUUAGCGAUAAAGGAUGCGGAUGAUCUUAAACGUGUAUCUGUAGGAAAAAUAAAACCAAAGUGGUAGGAUUUAUAAAAUUUUAUAUUCAAACAACACUUGGAUGAUACAAAAAAUCUGAAACUUUCAACCCCAUAAUUGAAACUUGAAGAUUUGACGCUCACAUACCUCCAAAACCCCACUUGAAGCCAAGCUUGAAUCAAAGCUCAGACACCUUGAUCGAAUCAAGCAAGAAUCUCGCAGUAAAAACCAAAGCAGAUAUCUUGAAGAUCAAGAUGAGGCGAGAUUGGAUGAAAUUGUUUUGCUGCUAGGGUUGAUGGAACCUAUAUAUAUAUAUAUAUAUAUAAAGAAAUGUUAAAUUACUGUAUAAUGGAAAUCAUCAAAUCAAUAUCUAAAAAGUUAAAUUAACAUAUAUAAAA